CUGACGACGGAGUUCAUGUGAUGUCAUAUCCGCCAUGCUCGAGUAUGUUAAUGUAGUUCAUGUAUAUCGAAGGCAGAAAUCCCGAAAGCUGGGUCGUAAUAAGAUACUCUUGUUCCUUGUACACUGGCCAAAAUCACUUUCGUUUUUACAACGUAUUUCCACGUAUUACUAUGUAUGUCUUCAUUAUGUGAGCAAUGGAGGGGGUGGAAAAUUCUGUAAAACUUCCUUAAUGACUCAAAUUCCACGGUGUGUCGGUAGAAGAAAUUUAUUGACGUGUGGAAUUUAGUAUUUAGCAAACAAGAUUCUGAAUGAUGAAGCAAUUCCAAUGAAUCCAUAUUGUUACUACACUAGCGUGGGGUACUUGUAAAAAACUCCAUCAAAAACACAUAACCUCACUAGCUUCAACGUUUAGAAGACAGCUACACCAAUAAUUGCACUACCCAUGCCAUUGUAUCUGCUCCAUACCAGCCAACUUACCAUCACAUGACUAACCAAGAAUAUAAGAUGCUCUCCCUUAUACAACAUAGUAACAAGAAAUGACAGUGCUGCCAUGUGAGAUAGGAACCCUAUGACAGGGCUUAGUUCACUGGCCACACUUGUGGCAACGUUGUGCUCCCAGUUUGUGUUUAAAAUGGCCGUGUCAAUUUGUGCAAUAAUUUGAUGUCUUCAUGCAAAAGGAGAAACUGCUACUGAAAUUCAUUGCCAACUUGUUUCUGUUUAUGGUGAAGAUGUUACUCACAGGCAAAAUGGUGUUGUGAAUUCGAAGAGGGAAGAAGUGAUGUUCAUGAUGAAAUAAGGAGUGGAAGGCCAUCUGUUGCCACUGAUGAAAUCAUCCAAAAAUCCGAUGAAAAUUUACAUGCUGACAGACGUUUAACCAUCAGUGAACUUCAUCAACAAGGUCCAGAAGUGUCGAGAGCUGUUCUCAACGUCUAAGAGAGCAGGUGGGAGAUUUCUACGACACUGGAAUAAAAAAAA